CCUACGGGAGGCAGCAGUGGGGAAUUUUGGACAAUGGGCGCAAGCCUGAUCCAGCAAUGCCGCGUGAGUGAAGAAGGCCUUCGGGUUGUAAAGCUCUUUUGUCAGGGAAGAAACGGCUGAGGUUAAUACCUUUGGCUAAUGACGGUACCUGAAGAAUAAGCACCGGCUAACUACGUGCCAGCAGCCGCGGUAAUACGUAGGGUGCAAGCGUUAAUCGGAAUUACUGGGCGUAAAGCGUGCGCAGGCGGUUUUGUAAGUCUGACGUGAAAUCCCCGGGCUCAACCUGGGAAUUGCGUUGGAGACUGCAAGGCUGGAGUCUGGCAGAGGGGGGUAGAAUUCCACGUGUAGCAGUGAAAUGCGUAGAGAUGUGGAGGAACACCGAUGGCGAAGGCAGCCCCCUGGGUCAAGACUGACGCUCAUGCACGAAAGCGUGGGGAGCAAACAGGAUUAGAUACCCUGGUAGUCCACGCCCUAAACGAUGUCUACUAGUUGUCGGGUCUUAAUUGACUUGGUAACGCAGCUAACGCGUGAAGUAGACCGCCUGGGGAGUACGGUCGCGAAGAUUAAAACGUCAAAGGAAUUGACGG
rnacentral:rRNA from 1 species